rnacentral:rRNA from 1 species
CGGACCGGCGCACGGGUGAGUAACGCGUAUGCAACUUACCUAUCAGAGGGGGAUAACCCGGCGAAAGUCGGACUAAUACCGCAUGAAGCAGGGGUCCCGCAUGGGGAUAUUUGCUAAAGAUUCAUCGCUGAUAGAUAGGCAUGCGUUCCAUUAGGCAGUUGGCGGGGUAACGGCCCACCAAACCGACGAUGGAUAGGGGUUCUGAGAGGAAGGUCCCCCACAUUGGUACUGAGACACGGACCAA